AGGAUGAACGCUGGCGGCGUGCUUAACACAUGCAAGUCAUGGGGGCCCAGCAAUGGGCAACCGGCGAACGGGUGCGUAACACGUGAGCAACCUACCCAGGUGUGGGGGAUAGCCGUCCCAACGGACGGGUAAUACCGCAUACGCUCAACACGAGGCAUUUCGAGUUGAGGAAACCUUCGGGGCACCAUGAGGGGCUCGCGGCCUAUCAGCUAGUUGGCGAGGUAACGGCUCACCAAGGCUACGACGGGUAGCUGGUCUGAGAGGAUGACCAGCCACAUUGGGACUGAGAAACGGCCCAGACUCCUACGGGAGGCAGCAGUGGGAAUCUGCGCAAUGGCCUAACGGCUGACGCAGCGACGCCGCGUGAGGAUGACGCUCUUCGGAGUGUAAACCUCUUUUUGCCUUGGAACAACGUAUCAGCUUCAGCUGAUUUGACGGUACCGGUGAAUAAGCACCGGCUAACGUCCGUGCCAGUAGCCGC
rnacentral:rRNA from 1 species